CUCCAAUAGCGUAUAUUAAAGUUGUUGCAGUUAAAAAGCUCGUAGUUGGAUUUCUGGCGGGAGUGACCGUGUCGGGCUUGAUUGUCCGUUCAACGUGUCGCAUCCAGCCAUCCUCGCGGAGAACGUUUUUUUAUCAUUGAUUUGAUAGAUUCGAUAUCCGCGUCGUUUACUGUGAAAAAAUUAGAGUGUUUAAAGCAGGC
rnacentral:rRNA from 1 species